rnacentral:rRNA from 1 species
ACUCAAAUGAAUAGACGGGGGCUCACACAAGCGGUGGAGCAUGUGGCUUAAUUCGAGGCUACGCGCAAAACCUUAUCCCGGGCUUGACAUGCACGGAUUAGCCGGCGGAAACGUCGGCGAGGCCGCAAGGUACAACGUGCACAGGUGCUGCAUGGCUGUCGUCAGCUCGUGCCGUGAGGUGUUGGGUUAAGUCCCGUAACGAGCGAAACCCCUGUCCUUAGUUGCCAGCGCGUCAUGGCGGGCACUCUAAGGAGACCGCCGGCGUCAAGCCGGAGGAAGGCGGGGAUGACGUCAAGUCCUCAUGGCCCUUAUGCCCGGGGCUGCACACGUGCUACAAUGGGGCGUCACAAAGCGACGCGAGGUCGCAAGGCCAAGCCAAUCGCCCAAACCGCCCCCCAGUUCGGAUUGCGGGCUGCAACCCGCCCGCAUGAAGCCGGAAUCGCUAGUAAUCGCGGAUCAGCACUGCCGCGGUGAAUGGGUUCCUGAGCCUUGCACACACCGCCCGU